rnacentral:rRNA from 1 species
GACGAACGCUGGCGGCACGCUUAAAACAUGCAAGUCGAACGUGAAGCCCGGGCUUGCCCGGGUGGAAAGUGGCGAACGGGUGCGUAACACGUGAGCAACCUGCCCCGAAGACCGGGAUAACACCGGGAAACCGGUGCUAAUACCGGAUGUCUUCACCAUGUCGCAUGGCGAGGUGAAGAAAUGGAUUCCGCUUCGGGAUGGGCUCGCGGCCUAUCAGCUUGUUGGUGGGGUAACGGCCUACCAAGGCAACGACGGGUAGCUGGUCUGAGAGGAUGUCCAGCCACACUGGGACUGAGACACGGCCCAGACUCCUACGGGAGGCAGCAGUUAGGAAUCUUGCGCAAUGGGCGAAAGCCUGACGCAGCGAUGCCGCGUGCGGGAUGAAGGCCCUCGGGUCGUAAACCGCUUUCAGCAGGGACGAUUGUGACGGUACCUGCAGAAGAAGCCCCGGCCAACUACGUGCCAGCAGCCGCAGUAAAAC